rnacentral:rRNA from 1 species
GACGAACGCUGGCGGCGUGCUUAACACAUGCAAGUCGAACGAUGAAGCCGGAGCUUGCUCUGGUGAAUUAGUGGCGAACGGGUGAGUAACACGUGAGUAACCUGCCCUUGACUCUGGGAUAACUGCGGGAAACUGUAGCUAAUACCGGAUACGACCCUCGGAGGCAUCUCCUGGGGGUGGAAAGAAUUUGGGUCAAGGAUGGACUCGCGGCCUAUCAGCUAGUUGGUGAGGUAAAGGCUCACCAAGGCGACGGCGGGUAGCCGGCCUGAGAGGGUGACCGGCCACACUGGGACUGAGACACGGCCCAGACUCCUACGGGAGGCAGCAGUGGGGAAUAUUGCACAAUGGGCGCAAGCCUGAUGCAGCAACGCCGCGUGAGGGAUGACGGCCUUCGGGUUGUAAACCUCUUUUAGCAGGGAAGAAGCGAAAGUGACGGUACCUGCAGAAAAAGCACCGGCUAACUACGUGCCAGCCGCCGCGGUAA